rnacentral:lncRNA from 1 species
GAGUUACGGCAGCUACCGCUUGGGCUCCGCUGCCGGGUUUCUCCCCCUUGGGGUGCACAUUCCAUCUUUGGCCAGUUGGCCGCUGUUUGAGCUCUGGCCAGCCCCUCUCCCUCUCUGAGCCUGGUCUCAUUUAAACAACAGAUGACUCGGCCGACCCCACAGAAAAUUAAAACUGAGAAAAUUAAAGAUAUACCGGGGAAUGUUGAUUUUGCUUUUGAUCCCAAAUGGCACUGACUUGGUUGCUUCCAACGUCUCCUACCUCUCCUGAAAGCUAAUUGCCAUUUUAAGAGCUGAGCACAGAGCAAGAAUGUUCCUCUAAGGAUGGACAACUGCUCCCAGGUGCUGCUAACUUCAAGUUACCAUGCCAUCCUAUGUGGUUUUCUUACCCUCCUAACACACCUUCACCAAACUCUCCUCAGCUUCCCUUGAGUGUAUGUCUGCUUCCUGCUCAGACUUCCUGAAUAGACGGGUAUUAAGAAGAGACAGUAGAAGAAUAAGCAAGCGAUGAGGGGUAGAUUGUAGCAAUAGAAGUGUAUUCAGUGGUACUUUCAGGAGCUGGGGAACUCUAGUAGCAUUGCUCACAGGAAAGAGAGGGAGAUAAACAAAGGGGCACUAAUUUUAGACUUUUGUAUAAAAUGUAAUAAAAUUCAUUGAGUUAAAAAAAUUAGACUUUUGUAUGACCAAGGUAAUGAAUAUCCAUUGCAGAAAAUUUGGAAAAUGCAGAAAGUGUAGAAUGAUUCAAAAAAGUCAUCCAAAUCCUAUUCAUAAGAACUAUUAAAAUUUUGGUGGAUUACUUUCCAAGUGGGGAUAUUUUUCCUAGUCAAAAUUAGAAUCAUGCCUACAUGUUACAGUGGAACCUUGAGGACAUUAUGCUCAGUGAAUAAGCCAGAAACAAAAGGACAAAUGUUUUACUACUUAUAUGAGGUCCCCAGAGCAGUCAGAUUCGUAGAGACAGUAGCAUGGUGGGUGCCAGGGGGCUUGGGGAAGAGUGGGGGUGGAGAAUUUUAAAGUGUGUGUGUUUAAUGGGAACAGAGUUGCAGUUUGAAAAGAUGAACAAUUUCUGGAGAUGGAUGGUAGCGAUGGCUAUGCAACCAUGUGAAUAUACUUCAUGCCACUGGACUGUACACUUAAGAUGGUAGGGAUGUUAACUGUUAUGCUGUGUACAUUUUACUGCAAUUAAAAAUAAUAAUAUUCAUG